ACACUUGAGGUUUAGUGGACUUAGCUGUGGAUUUCUAAUCUAUAGGUCCCAGGUUCUAAUCCUGACAAGGGAG